UCAGUCCCUAUCCCCAGGAGUUUCUCUUUUUUUAAGACAAACUUCUCAAGGAAAGCCACAACAGCACGGGCUAUAGAUUUGGCAUCUCCUCCCUCCAACUCAAUAAGUCCCAGAAAUGUUGAUACAACUGUCUGCUUGGUGUCACUAAAGUACCUUAUCACAACCCCCAGGUACUUAGAAACACUCACAUCCGUGGACUCAUCGAGGAGGAGGCUGAAACGCUGGUCACCCACAUCUGUGGACUCAUCGAGGAGGCUGAAACGCUGGUCACCCACAUCUGUGGACUCAUCGAGGAGGCUGAAACGCUGGUCACCCACAUCUGUGGACUCAUCGAGGAGGAGGAAACGCUGGUCACCCACAUCAGCGACCAACCUUUUCAGAAAGUAUGGUGCUAAAACAGCAUUAAUCAUUUCUGUGCACUUUGUCCUGUGCAUGUUGAAGUGGGUAGCAGCAGUGGAGUCUGAGAAAGCAGCUCUACAUGCUUCUCAAAUGUGAUCACAUGCCAGCAUGGAACUGUGUUCAGUGAUAGCUAAUUCCAUGGUGGCAUCAGCCUUUUUUGCAGAGUCAAAUUUUUUAACCAUAAAUGGCAGCUUGUUUUGAGUGGAACUGUUAUAAGGCUUUGCCUUUUGAGUAUGUUUUUGAGUUGUCAUGUGUUUUUUUACAUCACUAAGUUUGGCGGAGAAAUCAGCCUUACAAUACAGGCAGUAUGUCCGUGUAUCAUCUCCAAUAAACGGCUUCAACCAGCCUUUGAAUUCAGGGUUUGAUUCCCACUCCGUUCUGUAUUUUUGAGUGUACAGUUUAGAUUGAGACUUGAUGAGCUAGCCAGCUGCAUGUUUAGCUUAUGUCACAGGGAGGCACACACAGCGGACUUGGUGAGUAAGUGACAGGCUGUGUGAGUCAAAUGCAGUGAUUUAUUUUUGUGCAGUGAUUUAUUUUAGACAAAGAACAUUUUACAUCCCGCCCAGAAUGCAAGCCAGGGCGGGAUCAGCCAGCGGCAGCUUCCCGCAUGUGCGAGUCAUUUGCAAUAUGGACACGGAGGGUUGAACAUCUCCUGCUCUGACUGCAGCUGGGAGGGACUGCUGCGCGAGGACUGGGCCGCCUGUGAGUGCUUUGGGACGAGGGUGCGGCCCACAGCUGCACCCGCUGCUCGUUGAGAAGAGUAAGACCGGGGGCCUUUUUGAACAGAUACAUCAUUCUCUCAGAGAGGCUGGGUCUACAGCCAUGACAAGACCUCCGGAUGACAACCAGCAGAGCGUAACAGACUAAAACACCAAGCACCAAAUCCAUCAUCCUAAUCAGCUUGUAAAGAAACCCAAGAUUAGACCAUGAAAAUGCAACACCCCACACAACACAACUCCCACGGCCCCUCAGUGUCCUAAAAUGAUUUAUAACCUGACAAUACUGUAUUUCAGAUAGCUCAUAUGUAGAUUUAGACCUGCCAGUUUGGGGGCAUUGUUACAGUAGGGCACUGUAAGGUUAUUUUGGAUGGGGGUGUACAAUGCAUCAGAGGUGAUAUGUCUCUGGUGGUUGGUGGAAAGGAGUUUACUGUACCUGCCACGGUUGUGACAGUCAGGAUGCUGCCCUUAGCUCCAUUGUCCUCACCUGACUGAGUGGCCCGCACAGAGGGUAUUGAUGGAGCCCUCUGUGCAGCCAAGGAAAUAUAGCACAGAGAGAGUCAUCAGAACAAAACAGUCUGUCCAAAGAGAGAUGACGAUUUGUCUUUGGCCACCAAUAAAACUGACUCUCUCACGCUUU